CAAUAGCGUAUAUUUAAGUUGUUGCAGUUAAAAAGCUCGUAGUUGGAUUUCGGGUGGGACGCAGCGGUCUCGCAUUGCGUUUGUACUGCUGCAGCCCUCCUUCUUGCCGGGGGCGGCCUCUCGGACUUCACUGUCUGGGGGUCAGAAUCGGCGAUGUUACUUUGAGUAAAUUAGAGUGUUCAAAGCAAGCUUACGCUCUGAAUAUAAUAGCAUGGGAUAACACGACAGGACUCUGGCCUAUCGUGUUGGUCUAUAGGACCAGAGUAAUGAUUAAGAGGGACAGUCGGGGGCAUUCGUAUUCCGUUGUCAGAGGUGAAACUCUUGGAUUUACGGAAGACGAACAUCUGCGAAAGCAUUUGCCAAGGAUGUUUUCAUUGA
rnacentral:rRNA from 1 species